rnacentral:rRNA from 1 species
UACGGAGGGUGCAAGCGUUAUCCGGAUUCACUGGGUUUAAAGGGUGCGUAGGCGGGCAGGUAAGUCCGCGGUGAAAUCCUGGGGCUUAACCCCAGAACUGCCGUUGAUACUAUCUGUCUUGAAUAUUGUGGAGGUGAGCGGAAUAUGUCAUGUAGCGGUGAAAUGCUUAGAUAUGACAUAGAACACCAAUUGCGAAGGCAGCUCACUACGCAGUUAUUGACGCUGAGGCACGAAAGCGUGGGGAUCAAACAGG